AUGAAAUCUUUACUCCUCCUCGUGCUGUCUCUGGCUGCUGCCCCGUGUGUCCUUUGCCCGGUGCAGCUGGUCCAGUCCCGGCCCGGGAGCGGUGAAGCCCAGGGAGACCCUCACCCUGAGCUGCGCUGUCUGCGGGGUCUCCAUCACUACCAGCGGUUUAUACUUGGCAUUGGGUCCGGUGAAGGCCUGGAGUGGCUUGGUGUCCUCUCCCAGGUGCAGCUGAUCCAGUCAGGACCGGGAAUGGCGAAGCCUGGAGAGACCCUCGCACUGACGUGCGCUGUCUCCGGGUUCUCCAUCACUACUCGGUAUUACAGCUGGAACUGGAUCUGGCAGCCCCCCGGGAAAGGGCUGGAGUGGAUGGGGUAUGUGUACUCGUAUAGUAGCGGGGAGACAGGCUACGCCCCGUCUCUCCAGGGCCGAAUCACCAUCUCUGCAGACACCGCCAAGAACCAGUUCUCCCUGCAGCUCCGCUCGCUGACAGCUGCAGACACCGGCACCUAUUACUGCGCCAGAGACACAGCUGAGGAUAGUACCGGGUAUAUUUUCCUAUUUAAUUGUGAAGGUAUUUUAAUUUCAUUA